UACAGAGAGUGCAAGCGUUAAUCGGAAUUAUUGGGCGUAAAGGGUGUGUAGGUUGUUAAAAAAGUUAGAUGUGAAAUCCCUGGGCGUAACCUUGGAAUUGCAUUUAAUACUUUUUAUCUAGAGUAUUGUAGGGGGAAGUGGAAUUUCCGGUGUAGCGGUGAAAUGCGUAGAUAUCGGAAGGAACACCAGUGGCGAAGGCGACUUCCUGGACAAAUACUGACACUGAAACACGAAAGCGUGGGGAGCAAACAGGAUUAGAUACUCUGGUAGUCCACGCUGUAAACGAUGAAAACUUGCUGUUAGGCAUUUAUAUAUGUUUAGUGGCGUAGCUAACGCGUUAAGUUUUCCGCCUGGGGAGUACGAUCGCAAGGUUA
rnacentral:rRNA from 1 species